CCAGCUGACUGGUGCAAUCCCAACCUCAAUUGGAAGAAAUCUUGAACUGUUGGAUCUUUCAAGAAAUAAUUUGACAGGAAGCAUUCCUUCAAGCAUAGGAAAUUGUGUUGCACUCGAAGUUCUAGACCUUCGAAACAACAAUUUGUCUGGAGGGAUUCCAAGAGCCAUGGGUGAGUUGCGUGGGCUUUCAACACUUCACUUGGGCAAGAACAGACUAUCAGGAGAAAUCCCAUCAUCUUUUCAGCAUUUUCCAUAUUUGGAAACUUUAGACUUUGCAAACAACAUGUUGAC
rnacentral:misc_RNA from 1 species